UGCAGUCGAACGGUCUUUAGCAAUAGAGAUAGUGGCGCACGGGUGCGUAACGCGUAACCAACCUACCCGAAUCUGGGGGAUAGCCCGCCGAAAGGCGGAUUAAUACCGCAUAAAACGGCAGACCGGCAUCGGUUCACCGUUAAAGAUUUAUUGGAUUCGGAUGGGGUUGCGUGCCAUUAGCUAGUUGGCGGGGUAACGGCCCACCAAGGCGACGAUGGCUAGGGGAGCUGAGAGGCUGGUCCCCCACACGGGCACUGAGAUACGGGCCCGACUCCUACGGGAGGCAGCAGUAGGGAAUAUUGGGCAAUGGUCGAGAGACUGACCCAGCCAUGCCGCGUGCAGGAUGAAGGCUUUCUGAGUCGUAAACUGCUUUUACCAGGGAAGAAAAAAGGGGAUGCGUCCUCUACUGACGGUACCCGGUGAAUAAGCACCGGCUAACUCCGUGCCAGCAGCCGCGGUAAUACGGAGGGUGCAAGCGUUGUCCGGAUUUAUUGGGUUUAAAGGGUGCGUAGGCGGCUUUUUAAGUCCGGGGUGAAAGCCCGUUGCUCAACAACGGAACUGCCCCGGAAACUGGAGAGCUUGAGUACAGACGAGGGUGGCGGAAUGGACGGUGUAGCGGUGAAAUGCAUAGAUACCGUCCAGAACCCCGAUUGCGAAGGCAGCUGCCUAGACUGUAACUGACGCUGAGGCACGAAAGCGU
rnacentral:rRNA from 1 species